AACAGCAAACUAACAAAUUAACACAGGAACAGAAAACCAAACACUACAUGUUCUCACUUAUAAGUGGGAGCUGAACAAUGAGAACACAUGGACAUAGGGAGGGGAACACAUACUGGGGCGUGUCAUUUUCUGCUCUUUUUAAAUGGAAGCUAUUCAUUCUUUUGUCUUUUCAAACAUCCUAGGCACACCUAAAUAAAAUAAUUAUUUUAAAUUAACAGGGAACUUCGGUUUCUCAAGAUCCUAGUAUCAUGAGUGACUAAGAAUUGUCUGUGAAAUGGAGCUUCACUGGACUAUUCUCUUUUGUGAGUAUUUAAAAUUUUCCAUAAUGUUAUAAAAAGCAAACAAAAAAAUCCCAGAAAAAAUAAAUGACUAUUAGUAUAGUGUGUUCCCCAGUGUCUGUUCUCAUCUUCAGAGGAUAUGAACUGGGGUUUAUGUUGGUUCACUAAAUGUAUAUAUCCUAAGAUGUACCUGCAUAUAAUAAAAAUAUUAGAGAACAUUCUGUAAGGAAGCUCAAUUUUUUCCUGCCUUCAUUUUCCCUUUUUCUAAUUCAUUUUUUCAUUCAUCCAUUCAUUCACUCAUUCAUUUUCCAUCUGUCUCACUCUAAAGCUUCUUGGACUGUGUUUUCAGUGGGUCAGGUUCUUUAUGAAUCCUCAGACCUUUAUAAUUUUCCAUCCUAAGUUUGCUUAGAGAUCUCAUUUCUGACCCUUUCAUUGGUCCUGCUUCCUGGAUUCUUUCUCUUCUAAAAUAAAACAUGACUACAUGGAAUCCAAGAAAAAAAGCUACGAAAUCAAGCCCCUUUAUUAUGCUGGUAUUUGAGAUUUCUCUCACAGCUUUCUUAUAGAAUGUUCCCUAUUUUUAUUAUAUGCAGGUACAUCUUAGGAUAUAUACAUUUAGUGAACCAACAUAAACCCCAGUUCAUAUCCUCUGAAGAUGAGAACAGACACGGGGACUCCAAAAGCAGGGAGGGAGACAGCAAAGGCUGCAAGCCUUCCUACUGGGUACUAUGUUCAUUAUCUGGUGCCAAGAUCAACAGAAGCUCAAACACAUGCAAUACACCCUUGCAACAAACCUCCACAUAUACAACCUGAAUCUAAAAUAAAAAUUCUAAUUAAAAACAUAAAAAAUAAAGGCUGUGUUAUAAUAGCAUUUUUUUCUCUUAUUACUCUUUCCUUUCUCUUAUUGAUAUUCCCUCCCCUUUUUAGGUUAACUACCCAUGAAUCAGACCAAGGCUGUAUAAACACACAAAAAAUUCAAGUCACUAGAAUAACUUCUACACACAUAAGUACUGAAAUGAAGAACUACUAAAACAGAAUUUCCCAGAUCUAUCUUUCCUCAAGUUGAGAACCAAAGCCAAAGAAAAGCAAAUAUACACUCAAGUUAAAAUAUGUUAAUUACUCUGAUGAUGAAGAGAUCAAUUCCACAGGGUAAAUGUAGAACUAUAUUUAUCAUUUAGACACACAAGAGAAAGAGUCUGUAGGAGGAAAAGCAGUCUUCCUGGUGAAAAACUGAUUAAACAGGGCAGGUGUGGUGGCUUGUGCCUGUAAUCCCAGCACUUUGGGAAGCCGGGGCAGGCAGAUCACCUGAGGUCAGGAGUUCAAGACCAGCUUGGCCAACAUGGCAAAACCCCAUCUUUACUAAAAAUACAAAAAUUAGCUGGGCAUGGUGGCAAGUGCCUGUAGUCCCAGCUACUUGGGAGGCUGAGGGAGGAGAAUCACUUGAACCUGGGAGGCAGAGGCUGCAGUGAGCCAAGAUCAUGCCACUGCACUCCAGCCUGGUGACAGAGUGAGAUCCUGUCUCAGAAACAACGAUAACCAUAACAAACCUGAUUAAACAUAUAAUAUUUAGGAGGGGCUCUUUCUCUUCCUCUUUCUUAUCAUGAACAGUUUUCAAAGCCAGAGAGUGGAAGAAUCAAUUCUCUAUGGCGAUCUCAGCACUUUCAACACUCAAGGUAUAACACUCAGUGAAUGUAGCAUCCUUCAACGCUGCUCUUACUGGGUUCCCAACAUCUGCUGGGCACCGUGUUGUGUGCAGUCUGUCCCCACUCUGCCCCCACCCCCUGCUGAAUACAGGCUCCAGAG
rnacentral:lncRNA from 1 species